GAUCCUGGCUCAGGAUGAACGCUAGCUACAGGCUUAACACAUGCAAGUCGAGGGGAAACGACAUCGAAAGCUUGCUUUUGAUGGGCGUCGACCGGCGCACGGGUGAGUAACGCGUAUCCAACCUGCCCACACUUGGGGAUAACCUUGCGAAAGUAAGACUAAUACCCAAUGAUAUCUCUAGAAGACAUCUGAAAGAGAUUAAAGAUUUAUCGGUGAUGGAUGGGGAUGCGUCUGAUUAGCUUGUUGGCGGGGUAACGGCCCACCAAGGCGACGAUCAGUAGGGGUUCUGAGAGGAAGGUCCCCCACAUUGGAACUGAGACACGGUCCAAACUCCUACGGGAGGCAGCAGUGAGGAAUAUUGGUCAAUGGGCGAGAGCCUGAACCAGCCAAGUAGCGUGCAGGACGACGGCCCUAUGGGUUGUAAACUGCUUUUAUAAGGGAAUAAAGUGAGUCUCGUGAGACUUUUUGCAUGUACCUUAUGAAUAAGGACCGGCUAAUUCCGUG
rnacentral:rRNA from 1 species